GACGAACGCUGGCGGCGUGCUUAACACAUGCAAGUCGAACGGAAAGGCCCUGCUUUUGUGGGGUGCUCGAGUGGCGAACGGGUGAGUAACACGUGAGUAACCUGCCCUUGACUUUGGGAUAACUUCAGGAAACUGGGGCUAAUACCGGAUAGGAGCUCCUGCUGCAUGGUGGGGGUUGGAAAGUUUCGGCGGUUGGGGAUGGACUCGCGGCUUAUCAGCUUGUUGGUGGGGUAGUGGCUUACCAAGGCUUUGACGGGUAGCCUGCCUGGGAGGGUGACCGGCCACAUUGGGACUGAGAUACGGCCCAGACUCCUACGGGAGGCAGCAGUGGGGAAUAUUGCACAAUGGGCGGAAGCCUGAUGCAGCAACGCCGCGUGCGGGAUGACGGCCUUCGGGUUGUAAACCGCUUUCGCCUGUGACGAAGCGUGAGUGACGGUAAUGGGUAAAGAAGCACCGGCUAACUACGUG
rnacentral:rRNA from 1 species